UGGGGAAUUUUGGACAAUGGGGGAAACCCUGAUCCAGCCAUCCCGCGUGUGCGAUGAAGGCCUUCGGGUUGUAAAGCACUUUUGGCAGGAAAGAAACGUCAUGGGUUAAUACCCCGUGAAACUGACGGUACCUGCAGAAUAAGCACCGGCUAACUACGUGCCAGCAGCCGCGGUAAUACGUAGGGUGCAAGCGUUAAUCGGAAUUACUGGGCGUAAAGCGUGCGCAGGCGGUUCGGAAAGAAAGAUGUGAAAUCCCAGAGCUCAACUUUGGAACUGCAUUUUUAACUACCGGGCUAGAGUGUGUCAGAGGGAGGUUGAAUUCCGCGUGUAGCAGUGAAAUGCGUAGAUAUGCGGAGGAACACCGAUGGCGAAGGCAGCCUCCUGGGAUAACACUGACGCUCAUGCACGAAAGCGUGGGUAGCAAACAGG
rnacentral:rRNA from 1 species